rnacentral:rRNA from 1 species
CCUACGGGGGGCAGCAGUGAGGAAUAUUGGUCAAUGGGCGAGAGCCUGAACCAGCCAAGUCGCGUGAAGGAUGACGGCCCUACGGGUUGUAAACUUCUUUUGUCAGGGAGCAAUUGGGUCCACGCGUGGGCUUAGCGAGAGUACCUGAAGAAAAAGCAUCGGCUAACUCCGUGCCAGCAGCCGCGGUAAUACGGAGGAUGCGAGCGUUAUCCGGAUUUAUUGGGUUUAAAGGGUGCGCAGGCGGUUGAGUAAGACAGAUGUGAAAUCCCCGGGCUUAACUCGGGAAUGGCAUAUGUGACUGCUCGACUAGAGUGUGUCAGAGGGAGGUGGAAUUCCACGUGUAGCAGUGAAAUGCGUAGAUAUGUGGAAGAACACCGAUGGCGAAGGCAGCCUCCUGGGACAUAACUGACGCUCAGGCACGAAAGCGUGGGGAGCAAACAGGAUUAGAUACCCCAGUAGUC